UGCAUGCAAGAUUGAUUAGAGGUUCAUCUAUGCAAGGAGGGGCGUGUUUGGCCAUUGAAGGCUAAUUCUUGAAUUGAAGACUAUAAUAAGAAGACUAGCCAAACAAGACUCUUACUUCAUUAAGGGUAGCAAUGUAAUUUCCUAUUAUCUUCUUUACUUAGCUUGUAUAUAUAGCUUGUCUUUCAUUUCAUUACUUAGAUUUUGGAUGAUGAAUUAUGAUACUCUAAAUUGAGUGAUAGAUUGUUAGGUAGAUUCUAGGGCUAUUUUAGUCAAUAUGAUAGUGGAAUCCAUUGUUGGUUUGUGAA